UUCUUUUUUUUUUCCUUUUUGAGACAGAGUGUUGCUCUGUCACCCAGGCUGGAGGGCAGUGGUGUGAUCUCGGCUCACUGCAACCUCCGCCUCAUGGUUUAAUUGAUUCUCCUGCCUCAGCCCCCUGAGUAGUUGGGAUUACAGGCACCCGCCACCACACCUGGCUAAUUUUUUGUAUUUUCAGAAGGCGUGGGUUUUUGCCACGUUGGCCUGGCUGGUCUUGACCUCCUGACCUCAAGUGAUCCACCCUCCUCGGCCUCCCAAAAUGCUGGGAUUACAGGCAUGAGCCACCAUACCCAGCUGCUUUCUUUCAUUUUUACUUGAAAAACUCCGUUAAGCAUUUCUUUUAAAGUAGACCUAGUGGUGGCUCAUGCCUAUAAUCCCAGCACUCUGGGAGGCCAAGGUUUCAGGAUCGCUUGAGCCCAGGAGUUCAAGACCAGCCUGGGUAACAUAAUGAGACACCAUCUCUACAAAAAAUGCAAAAAUUAGCUGAGCAUGGUGGCACGCACCUGUAGUCCCAGCUACUUGGGAUGCUGAGGCAGGAGAAUCGCUUGAACCUGGGAGGUGGAGGUU
rnacentral:lncRNA from 1 species